GAGUUUGAUCUUGGCUCAGAGUGAACGCUGGCGGUAGGCCUAACACAUGCAAGUCGAACGGCAGCACAGUAAGAGCUUGCUCUUAUGGGUGGCGAGUGGCGGACGGGUGAGGAAUACAUCGGAAUCUACUUUUUCGUGGGGGAUAACGUAGGGAAACUUACGCUAAUACCGCAUACGACCUACGGGUGAAAGCAGGGGAUCUUCGGACCUUGCGCGAUUGAAUGAGCCGAUGUCGGAUUAGCUAGUUGGCGGGGUAAAGGCCCACCAAGGCGACGAUCCGUAGCUGGUCUGAGAGGAUGAUCAGCCACACUGGAACUGAGACACGGUCCAGACUCCUACGGGAGGCAGCAGUGGGGAAUAUUGGACAAUGGGCGCAAGCCUGAUCCAGCCAUACCGCGUGGGUGAAGAAGGCC
rnacentral:rRNA from 1 species